rnacentral:rRNA from 1 species
ACCUCAGCGGCACGUGAAGGGGGACCAAGUGCUCAUGCAUUGCAUGGGCUGUUCUUUGGUCUAAGUAACCAGAGGAGUAAGGGCUGGGCAAGACCGGUGCCAGCAGCCGCGGAAUAA